rnacentral:rRNA from 1 species
GACGAACGCUGGCGGCGUGCUUAACACAUGCAAGUCGAACGGUAAGGCCCUUUCGGGGGUACACGAGUGGCGAACGGGUGAGUAACACGUGGGUGAUCUGCCCUGCACUUUGGGAUAAGCCUGGGAAACUGGGUCUAAUACCGGAUAGGACUACGCGAUGCAUGUCGUGUGGUGGAAAGCUUUUGCGGUGUGGGAUGGGCCCGCGGCCUAUCAGCUUGUUGGUGGGGUGAUGGCCUACCAAGGCGACGACGGGUAGCCGGCCUGAGAGGGUGUCCGGCCACACUGGGACUGAGAUACGGCCCAGACUCCUACGGGAGGCAGCAGUGGGGAAUAUUGCACAAUGGGCGCAAGCCUGAUGCAGCGACGCCGCGUGAGGGAUGACGGCCUUCGGGUUGUAAACCUCUUUCAAUAGGGACGAAGCGCAAGUGACGGUACCUAUAGAAGAAGCACCGGCCAACUACGUGCCAGCAGCCGCCGCGUAAAC